rnacentral:rRNA from 1 species
GGGGAAUUUUGGACAAUGGGCGCAAGCCUGAUCCAGCCAUGCCGCGUGGGUGAAGAAGGCCUUCGGGUUGUAAAGCCCUUUCGGCCGGGAAGAAAUCGUGCGGGCGAACAGUCUGCAUGGAUGACGGUACCGGAAGAAGAAGCACCGGCUAACUACGUGCCAGCAGCCGCGGUAAUACGUAGGGUGCGAGCGUUAAUCGGAAUUAUUGGGCGUAAAGCGUGCGCAGGCGGCGCCAUAAGACAGCUGUGAAAUCCCCGGGCUUAACCUGGGAACUGCGGUUGUGACUGUGGUGCUAGAGUACGGCAGAGGGAGGUGGAAUUCCUGGUGUAGCAGUGAAAUGCGUAGAGAUCAGGAGGAACACCGAUGGCGAAGGCAGCCUCCUGGGCUGAUACUGACGCUCAUGCACGAAAGCGUGGGGAGCAAAC